CAGCAGUGUCCUUAGUUGGUUCUGAAGGGCAUUUUGCACAGUGUUUAGCAAUGAUUUGGGCCAUAUUACUUCUCAUUCUCCAAGUCUGGUCCUCCAAGUUUUUAGGCAAUUUUGUAUUUAUUUUCUGCUAUAAUCAGCCCAAACCCAUUUCUUUUGCUCUGGAACUUAGAAGUGAUCUAGUCAACUUACAUGGUAAGCAAUCAUCUAUAGCAAAAAUUUAGAGUAAAAUUAGACCAAGAUUGAUUGAACAUUCAUGUUUCAAACUGCAGAAAAUCUUGGAGUUUUUUUAGACAAUAAUAUUAAUGUUACUACUGCUAAUAAAAGAUAGCUUUAUUGAGAAACUACUGUAUGUCAUGAUCUGUAUUAAGCCUUUAUAUGAAAAAAAAAAGCCUUUAUAUGCAUUAUUUCCUGUAAUUCAAGGAAGAUAUAGGAACUCAAAUCUGAUGAAAAUAAGCCAGAUGAAAAAACAUGGCCUAUAAUCUAGUGGAGGAGGAGGAGGAUGAUGACGAUGACAAUGAUGAAGAUUAUGAUGACAAUGAUGUUGGUAAUGAUGAUAAUGAUGGCAAUGACAAUGAUGAUGACAAUGACAAUAAUGAUGAUUAUGAUGAUGACAGUGAUGUUGACAAUGAUGAUGAUGACAACAUCUGGAAUGUGGAGAAUCACAGUUAGGGUCAACCGCCUAUAUAACAGAGCUUGUUUGAAGUGUCUCAAGUCCCAGGCUCUAAUGGACCCCAACUCUGAUAAAUCACCUUCAUGCUCAGAAGGAAAGAUAAGACUUAUGCAACUAUUGCUUAUAGUGAUAACCUCUACAUCUCCUGGAAUUAGCCUCAACUUAGUGACCUGGAAUCAAUCACCUAGUGCCAUGUCUGUCAUCGUUUAUGACCAACAAAAUCACUCGCAUGUGACCCUAAAGGGGUUCUUCAAGGCUUUGAAAAUUCAAAUUGGAAAGAGGGCAUGA
rnacentral:lncRNA from 1 species